rnacentral:rRNA from 1 species
CCCUUAGAUGUUCUGGGCCGCACGCGCGCUACACUGAUUCAUGCAACAAGUUUUGUCCUUGGCUGAUAGGCCUGGGUAAUCUUUGAACGUGAAUCGUGAUGGGGAUAGAUGAUUGCAAUUAUUCAUCUUCAACGAGGAAUUCCUAGUAAACGCAAGUCAUCAGCUUGCAUUGAUUACGUCCCUGCCCUUUGUACACACCGCCCGUCACACCUACCGAUUGAAUGGUCCGGUGAAAUCUUCGGAUCUGAGAGAUGUCUGAUUAAUUUCGGACGCCUUUUGGAAAAGUUGUUUAAACCUUACCAUUUAGAGGAAGGUGAAGUCGUAACA